rnacentral:rRNA from 1 species
UACGGGGGGAGCAAGCGUUGUCCGGAGUUACUGGGCGUAAAGCGCACGCAGGCGGUCGAUUAAGUUUGGAGUGACAGUUGGUGGCUUAACUGCCAAAGUGCUUUGAAAACUGAUCGACUUGAGGGCUUCAGAGGGACACGGAAUUCCGGGUGGAGUGGUGAAAUGCGUAGAGAUCCGGAGGAACACCGAAGGCGAAGGCAGUGUCCUGGGGAGUACCUGACGCUCAGGUGCGAAAGCCAGGGGAGCGAACGGG